UUUUAUUCAAAAAAGCAGUUUUGGAUCUCCAAACGCAAUGCCAAACGGGCACAAAGAAUAUUAUUAACCUGGUUUCACCGAGGAUCCUUUAUCUUGGGGGAAGGGAAUGCUAGUGCUGAGAGCUGUUCGUUUUUGUUGUAUUUGUGAUCUCUGGUGCACCUCUUUCCCUCAAUAGAACAUUGUCUCCAGCACCUGCUAAAAGUUAUUUGUUCAUGUAAAACUCUUAACCUCUGAUUUGUUGCUUGCAUUAUAACAGUGACCAAGAAUACUGUGUCCCUCCUAUGAUGGCUUCUCCAUAUUUUUGUGUGCAGCAUGCUAGUGAAAAAUUUUUAAUCAGUUAAUAUGGCAUUGCAUGUCAAUAAUUUUUUCAUCCCAUGGACAGGAAUGCAAUAU
rnacentral:misc_RNA from 1 species